rnacentral:rRNA from 1 species
GACGUAGGGUCCAAGCGUUGUCCGGAUUUACUGGGCGUAAAGCGCGCGCAGGCGGUCUGUUAAGUGCACAAGUGAAAGCUCCGGGCUCAACUCGGAAAUUGCUUUGCAUACUGGCAGGCUGGAGGGACGCAGAGGUCUGUGGAAUUCCUGGUGUAACGGUGAAAUGUGUUGAUAUCAGGAGGAACACCCAUGGCGAAGGCAGCAGACUGGGCGUUUCCUGACGCUGAGGCGCGAAAGCGUGGGUAGCAAACAGG